rnacentral:rRNA from 1 species
GAGGGGGGGUUUGGUUCCUCCCUCCCCGACGUGUGUCCUAAAUUUGGGUGUUUCCGGCUUGCCCGCCCCGCGGCCCCGUUGGCAGGGUUUUACUACUACUCCUGAAAUCUGCAUUCUUGUUUUAUUUUGGAAUCUUCUGAGUAGUUUUUACAAAUAAAUAAAAACUUUCAACAACGGAUCUCUUGGUUCUGGCAUCGAUGAAAAACGCAGCGAAAUGCGAUAAGAAAUGUGAAUUGCAGAAUUCAGUGAAUCAUCUAAUCUUUGAACGCACAUUGCGCCCGCCAGUAUUCUGGCGGGUUUGCCUGUCUGAUCGUCAUUUCAACCCUCAUGCCCCUAGGGCGUGGUGUUGGGGAUCGGCCAAAGCCCGCGAGGGACGGCCGGCCCCUAAAUCUAGUGGCGGACCCGUCCUGGCCUCCUCUGCGAAGUACUGAUAUGCCGCAUCGGAGAGCGACGAGCCCCUGCCGUUAAACCCCCAACUUUCCAAGGUUGACCUCACAUCAAGUAGGAAUACCCGCUGAACUUAAGCAUAUGAAUAAGCGGAGGAAUUCUUGAUACCACUUUUGCGUCGACGA